rnacentral:misc_RNA from 1 species
UACGUAGGGGGCAAGCGUUGUCCGGAAUUAUUGGGCGUAAAGCGCGCGCAGGCGGUCCCUUAAGUCUGAUGUGAAAGCCCACGGCUCAACCGUGGAGGGUCAUUGGAAACUGGGAGACUUGAGUACAGAAGAGGAGAGCGGAAUUCCACGUGUAGCGGUGAAAUGCGUAGAUAUGUGGAGGACCACCAGUGGCGAAGGCGACUCUCUGGUCUGUAAUUGAAGCUGCUGCGCGAAAGCGUGGGGAGCAAACCGG